UCUAUUGGGUGGAGAUAAGCUAUCAGCUGCUGGAGACGGUGAUGGAGCAUUCAAGGAGCAGCUCGUUAGAGGUGUCCCACAUAAACGAGAGUUUCCCACGAAUGAUGAAAGUGGAAACUUCUGGAGGGAGUUUGGAACUGAGCCAUUUAGCAUGUUGUAACUCAAAUUGAAGUGGUUCAACCUGAGGGUGUCAAGACCAUUUAGCAUGUUGUAACUCAAAUUCAAGUGGUUUAACCUGAGGGCGUCAAGGCUGGGGAUUUCUCCUGUCAAUGAAUUGAACUGUAGGUUCAACACAGAUAAUCGCGACAAGCUCUUGAUCGUGGUGGGAAUUUU
rnacentral:lncRNA from 1 species